ensembl:lncRNA
GAAGCUGCAUUCCGCUUGACAUAUUAUUGAUUAUACAUUGUAAAAUCAACCUGAGGAUUGAUUAUAAAAAACGUUUGACAUGUUUCUACCUUCAUUAUAGAUACUAUUUGGAAAUUUGUCUGCGAUGUCGUAAUCGCUCGAGCCUGUGGAUUUCUGAACAUAACGUGCCAAACAAAUGGAGCCCUAGGACCAUUCCUCAAGACUACCUGGCAUGAUGACUCCUUGCUGUCCCCAGUCCACCUGGCUGUGCUGCUGAUCCAGUUUCAACUGUUCUGCCUACGGCUAUGGAACCCUGACCUGUUCACCGGAUGUGCUACCUGUCCCGACCUGCUGUUUUCAAUUCUCUAGAGACAGCAGGAGUGGUAGAGAUACUCUCAAUGAUCGACUAUGAAAAGCCAACUGACAUUUACUCCUGAGUUGAGGAUCCUUGGAAUCUGUACGCCAGACAGAGCCACAGUCUAUUUGAGGGAUGGAAAUCGUGGCUGAUCUCCAAACCAAAACAAGGAGCUACACCUCAACCUCCCUAUUUUGCAAGCCACUACCUUAGAGCAUAUGAGAGUCCUCUGCCCAUCAAAAAACAAGUACCAAGAUCAGAUGUCCUGCUCAACUACUUGCCAGCUGCUGCACGCUCUUUUUAUAAAUCACUGCAGAGUGAAUCAUUUGUUGUUAAACCAAACUACAUAAUUAACCGUUUUUUUCCUGUGAGUUUAUGAUCCCCUGAACCUGGUAUAGUAUGUUGAAUCUGAAUACAUUUCAGAAGACAUGUCACCCCUAUUGUAGGAAAUUAAAUAUAUAGUAGGUGUUUUCUAUGUGAAUCCAUUUCUGUAUGAUUUGAACCAGCA